rnacentral:rRNA from 1 species
AGGUUAAGUUAACAAGGGCGCAUGGUGAAUGCCUUGGCACUAGGAGCCGAUGAAGGACGGGACUAACACCGAUAUGCUUCGGGGAGCUGUACGUAAGCUAUGAUCCGGAGAUUUCCGAAUGGGGCAACCCAGCAGUUUUAAUCAACUGUUACCACUAGAUGAAUUCAUAGUCUAGUUGGAGGUAAACGCUGUGAACUGAAACAUCUCAUUAGCAGCAGGAAUAUAAAGAAAUUUCGAUUCCCUAAGUAGCGGCGAGCGAACGGGGAACAGCCCAAACCAAAGUGCUUGCACUUUGGGGUUGUAGGACUGAACAUUUGAGUUACCAAAGAACUUGAUAGUCGAAGGAUUUGGGAAAAUCCGCCAUAGAUGGUGAUAGCCCAGUAGAUUAAAUCAAAUUCUCUCAGUUCAGGAUCCUGAGUACGGCGGAACACGUGAAAUUCCGUCGGAAUCCGGGAGGACCAUCUCCCAAGGCUAAAUACUACCUAGUGACCGAUAGUGAACCAGUACCGUGAGGGAAAGGUGAAAAGCACCCCGGGAGGGGAGUGAAAUAGUUCCUGAAACCAUGUGCCUACAAUAAGUCAGAGCGCGUUAAUGCGUGAUGGCGUGCCUUUUGUAGAAUGAACCGGCGAGUUAUGAUCCCGUGCAAGGUUAAGACUAAAAAGUCGGAGCCGUAGCGAAAGCGAGUCUGAAAUGGGCGUUUUGAGUACGAGGUUAUAGACCCGAAACCAGGUGACCUAUCCAUGUCCAGGUUGAAGGUGCGGUAAAACGCACUGGAGGACCGAACCCGUGUAAGUUGAAAAUUGCUGGGAUGAGGUGUGGAUAGCGGUGAAAUUCCAAACGAACUUGGAGAUAGCUGGUUCUCUCCGAAAUAGCUUUAGGGCUAGCCUCGGAAUUAGGAUCAUGGAGGUAGAGCACUAUUUGGACUAGGGGCCCGUCUUGGGUUACUGAAUUCAGAUAAACUCCGAAUGCCAUUGAUUCAUAUCCGGGAGUCAGACGAUGAGUGAUAAGAUCCACCGUCGAAAGGGGAACAGCCCAGACCAUCAGUUAAGGUCCCUAAAUGUAUGCUAAGUGGAAAAGGAUGUGGAGUUGCAUAGACAACUAGGAUGUUGGCUCAGAAGCAGCCACCAUUUAAAGAGUGCGUAAUAGCUCACUAGUCGAGUGAUUCUGCGCCGAAAAUGUACCGGGGCUAAGCAUACUACCGAAACCAUGGAUGCGACCAUUAGGUCGCGUGAUAGGAGAGCGUUCUAAGGGCGGUGAAGCAAGAUCGUGAGGACUUGUGGAGCGCUUAGAAGUGAGAAUGCCGGUAUGAGUAGCGAAAGAUAGGUGAGAAUCCUAUCCACCGAAUGACUAAGGUUUCCUGGGGAAGGCUCGUCCUCCCAGGGUUAGUCGGGACCUAAGUCGAGGCCGAGAGGCGUAGACGAUGGAUAACAGGUUGAGAUUCCUGUACUAGUUAAGUGCGUUUGAGCAAUGGAGGGACGCAGGAGGCUAAGAUGUGCAUUCUGUUGGAUUAGAAUGUCCAAGCAGUAAGUCUUGUGAAGAGUCAAAUGCUUUUCACUUUAAGGACAAGCUGUGAUGGGGAGCGAAAUUUAGUAGCGAAGCGUCUGAUGUCACACUGCCGAGAAAAGCUUCUAGUGAGUACUUAACUACCCGUACCGCAAACCGACACAGGUAGUCGAGGAGAGAAUCCUAAGGUGAGCGAGUGAACUCUCGUUAAGGAACUCGGCAAAAUGACCCCGUAACUUCGGGAGAAGGGGUGCUGAUCGCAAGAUCAGCCGCAGUGAAUAGGCCCAGGCGACUGUUUAUCAAAAACACAGGUCUCUGCAAAAUCGUAAGAUGACGUAUAGGGGCUGACGCCUGCCCGGUGCUGGAAGGUUAAAAGGAUGGGUUAGCUUCGGCGAAGCUCAGAAUUGAAGCCCCAGUAAACGGCGGCCGUAACUAUAACGGUCCUAAGGUAGCGAAAUUCCUUGUCGGGUAAGUUCCGACCCGCACGAAAGGCGUAACGAUCUGGGCACUGUCUCAACGAGAGACUCGGUGAAAUUAUAUUGUCCGUGAAGAUGCGGACUACCCGCGACAGGACGGAAAGACCCCAUGGAGCUUUACUGUAGCUUGAUAUUGAGUGUUUGUACAGCUUGUACAGGAUAGGUAGGAGCCAUAGAAACCGGAACGCUAGUUUCGGUGGAGGCGUUGGUGGGAUACUACCCUCGCUGUAUGACCACUCUAACCCGCACCACUAAUCGUGGUGGGAGACAGUGUCAGGUGGGCAGUUUGACUGGGGCGGUCGCCUCCUAAAAAGUAACGGAGGCGCCCAAAGGUUCCCUCAGAAUGGUUGGAAAUCAUUCGCAGAGUGUAAAGGCACAAGGGAGCUUGACUGCGAGACAGACAGGUCGAGCAGGGACGAAAGUCGGGCUUAGUGAUCCGGUGGUACCGUAUGGAAGGGCCAUCGCUCAACGGAUAAAAGCUACCCUGGGGAUAACAGGCUUAUCUCCCCCAAGAGUCCACAUCGACGGGGAGGUUUGGCACCUCGAUGUCGGCUCAUCGCAUCCUGGGGCUGUAGUCGGUCCCAAGGGUUGGGCUGUUCGCCCAUUAAAGCGGUACGCGAGCUGGGUUCAGAACGUCGUGAGACAGUUCGGUCCCUAUCCGUCGCGGGCGUAGGAAAUUUGAGAGGACCUGUCCUUAGUACGAGAGGACCGGGAUGGACAUACCUCUGGUGUACCAGUUGUGCCGCCAGGCGCAUCGCUGGGUAGCUACGUAUGGAUGUGAUAAACGCUGAAAGCAUCUAAGUGUGAAACACACCUCGAGAUGAGAUUUCCCAUUCCUUUAUGGAAGUAAGACCCCUGAAAGAUGAUCAGGUAGAUAGGUUAGAAGUGGCAGUGCGGUGACGCAUGAAGCGGACUAAUACUAAUCGGUCGAGGACUUAACCAAG